GUGAGAACCUGAAUUAUGAAUGGAGAGAAAUCAAGAUCUUUUGACAUUAGAUUACAGUAUGUACUCAGGAAUUGCUUCAUGUUGGAACUGAAUACCAACAGAACAUUGCAGUGAAAGAAACCUGUGCAGCCUGUUGACGAUCCCUAUGGCACAAAUGCUGAAAUUGUUUUUGGGGAUUUCUCUGUCCCACUGGUAGACUUAUAUCCUGAAAGCACCAGUCCAGAAGCAACAAUAUAUGGAGUUCCUGAAAUUGGAGAACAUAAUUCUGUUUCUUUGGUUGGACUUGUGCAAUAGAAUGCAUUCCAUGUGUCAUUGAAAGCUUUUCUGUCCGAUGACAAGAUGCUUCUACCAAGAAAUUAUGCUUCCAGUGCAAUGGAUAUGUUACAUAGAUUUUUUUAAAAAGUUCUUUUAAAUGUAGUUAAAUUUUGUUACAUGAUUGUUCUUAUUUAAUUUUAGAAAUGGUGCUUUUCCUUUAUGAUUUAUUGUAAACUCAAAGGAUUUUUAAAAAAAUGUUUUAUAGCUGGAUAUUCUUUAUAUUUAGUUUCAGCAAAAUAUCCUUAUGAAACUUCUAAAUUAUCAAAGCUUGCAUCAUAAGUAAGAGAUGCUGUACAAUGGAGUAGAGAGUGUGAAGAAGAGAAAUUCACUUACUCUUCACUGCAGCUUUUAUACAUUGGAGUGGCAGUAAUUUGAAACUGACCCUCUUGCGGAGGCGACAGAGGUGGAAAAUGGCGAAUCAUCACUGGGCCCUGACAGCCUUCCAAGUCUUGCUCAAAAAGGAGUAACAGUUCAGCACAAUAUACAUUCCUCCCAAGAAUGGCAGGAAAUGCCAGGUCUGGAAUGCCCAAGGAGGAUAUAAAGGGAACCUUGAAGGAAAUAAUAAGUGUGAUAUAUCUUCAAAAGAAAACCAAUGAUAUUGUUGUAGCAAAUUUUCUGCAAUCCAUGUUACUGGAACUUCACUGCAAUUCCAGUGAUAUCUCUCCUAAGUGACUAUUGAUUUGUGUAUGACUGAAUGUAGCAUUAGUGGUUCUUCAGGAAAAUAACAUCCAUUUCAACUGAGAGUCAGAACACAAGAAUGUAACAGAUAGAAGCCAGUUGAGCUCAUUCUGCCCCUUGUGCCUGCUGUACCAUUUAAUAAGUUUGUGUCUCAUCUUUUACCUCAGUCCUACUUUCCCUAUAUCUCAUAGUUCCCUUAUAUCCACAAAUCCAUCAGUCUCUGCCUUGAAUGUACUCAGUGACUGAGCCUGAACAAACUUCUUGGUGACAGAAUUCCAAGGAUUCACUACCCUCUGGAUGAAGGAAUUUCUUCUUGUUUCAGUCCUGAUUGGCUAUCUCUUUAUUGUUACACUGUGACACCAGUUCCAGACACACUGCCGGGGGAAACAUUGUUGGAUCUACCCUGCCAAGCCCAGUAAGAAUUUUGGGUAUUUCAAUGAGAUCACCUCUCAAGCCUCUUAAUUAAGUAUAGCCCAGACUACUUAGACCCUCCUCAUCAAACAGCCCCACCCCUCCUGUUCCAGAAUCAACUUGGUGAACUUUCAUUACACUGUCCCAAGAAAAUCCUUGCUCAAGUAGGGAGAAUGUCCCUAAAAGCAAUGCUCCGGUGCAGUUUCACCAGAAUCCCCAUGUAGUUGCAAUAAGAUUACU